AUUGAACGCUGGCGGCAGGCCUAACACAUGCAAGUCGAACGGUAACAGGAAGAAGCUUGCUUCUUUGCUGACGAGUGGCGGACGGGUGAGUAAUGUCUGGGAAACUGCCUGAUGGAGGGGGAUAACUACUGGAAACGGUAGCUAAUACCGCAUAACGUCGCAAGACCAAAGAGGGGGACCUUCGGGCCUCUUGCCAUCGGAUGUGCCCAGAUGGGAUUAGCUAGUAGGUGGGGUAACGGCUCACCUAGGCGACGAUCCCUAGCUGGUCUGAGAGGAUGACCAGCCACACUGGAACUGAGACACGGUCCAGACUCCUACGGGAGGCAGCAGUGGGGAAUAUUGCACAAUGGGCGCAAGCCUGAUGCAGCCAUGCCGCGUGUAUGAAGAAGGCCUUGGUUGUAAGUACUUCUAGCGGGAGG
rnacentral:rRNA from 1 species